UUUUUAAAUCAAAAACCUAAAAAGAAAGAAAUUUAUGCAAAUGAUCAAAUUUUAGAGUUGCCGAAAAAUGUUGCACCUCAGAAGCACAAACGGCAAACCUCCCGUCGGCGUCGAAUAUCUCUUCGUUCUGCCCAAUCGCCAAAUCCUACAAUAGGAAUAUAAAUUUCGUGAUCAAAGUCGUCAAUGAAUCGGGAACUCAGAAGCACAAUUUAUUGAAUAGGUUGUCAAUGAAUCGGGAACUCAGAAGCACAAUUUUCUUCCUUUUGCUCAAUUGCCAAAUCCAACAAUAGGAGUAUGAACAAGGCCUUCACAUUCUGAUCAAAAACAGAGUGGAAGCUAUAGUUGGUGAUCUAGGAACUGGAUCUACUCCACAAAGAAGUGAUCCUUUGAUAUCUCUGCUUGUGCAGGUACAAAUUUUGCAGUUCCUUUACACAUAUCAAUGAUCCCGCGGUUGGUUGAUAACCUGCAACCUCGCACUCUUCUGAUGAAAAGCGAGGUGCAAGUAAAGGGGCUGCUGGAUGCAUCCACCAGUGUCUCAUUGGUGACGCAUCGGAAAAUUGAGC